rnacentral:rRNA from 1 species
UACGGAGGGAGCUAGCGUUGUUCGGAAUCACUGGGCGUAAAGGGUGCGCAGGCGGAUUUUUAAGUCAGGGGUAAAAUCCCGAGGCUCAACCUCGGAACUGCCUUUGAUACUGGGGAUCUUGAGUCCGGAAGAGGUGAGUGGAACUGCGAGUGUAGAGGUGAAAUUCGUAGAUAUUCGCAAGAACACCGGUGGCGAAGGCGGCUCACUGGUCCGGAACUGACGCUGAGGCACGAAAGCGUGGGGAGCAAACAGG